rnacentral:rRNA from 1 species
UGGCGCGCGGGUGAGUAACGCGUGGACAAUCUGCCUGUCUGAUGGAGGGGGAGUUGACAGGAAACGCUAGCUAAUAACACACUCAGUAUGAAGAUUUUGAAGGGGGACCUUCUCUGCUCGUGUGCUCUCAUGUACGGAUAUGUCCUCAUCUAGUUAGUUGGGUGGCGGCUCACCGACCCAACAAUCCAUAGAUGGGCAGACAAUAUGACAGGACGAUCUGCCACUGAGAAACUGACCCAACUCCCACACUCCGACGGGAGGCAGAAUAGUGGAAUAUGGCGGAAUGCCUGAAAGCCUGACGCAGCGACGCCGCGUGAGGAAGGAAGGUUGUCGGAUCUUUCCCUCUGUCAGAAGGGAAGAAAAUAAAUUGUGCUAAUCAUUGACGUACUGACGGUACCUUCACCGAAUCACCGGCUAACUCCGUGCGCGCUAAUACGGAAGUAGCAAGCGUUAAUCCGAUUUACUGGGUUUAAGGGGCAC